AGGCGGCGCGGCCGGCCUCUUCGCCAAGCAAGUGCAGAAGAAGUUUAGCAGGGCCCAGGAGAAGAAUAUUUUCUUUGCUUCUAACCUGAGCCUCUGCUCUCCACCUACCAACCCUCUAGUAGACAAGGCGGUUUGGGAAGACAUGUCAGCCAGAAGAAAGAGAGAGGGAAGAAAGACAAGAAGGACCUGAGAUAGAGUUUCGGUUUUCCUUUUUUUCUCUCUCUCUUUAUUAAGCCCAACCUGCCUUCUACAACGGAGAAGUUUUGGUUUUCUAAGAGCUGAUGGACUUAGAAGCAUUUGGAUGAACAGCUCUGCUUACCAACUGAAAUAUCCCUAUUAUCUUCUAAAGGUGGAGCACUGGUUUGAGCCCUGGGAAGGCUUAAAGGCAACCAGCUCUCCCGAGUUGAUUUAUCAGCAGAAAACUGAUGGAAUGUAGAUGUAGCUCCUGACUUUAAGAGACCACAAUGGAAGGGAGGUUAUUUUCUAUCAUUUGAGGUCAUGUGAAAGAGAGGAGGAAAAGGGAAAGAGUUCAUGUAGCCAGACUUCGUUACUUCACUUACCCUAACUUCACCUUGAUCCUAGUUUCAGCCUCUCUGAAGACUUACAAAUCUGGUAGACCUGAGAGCAGGGCCUAUGGGAAGGUCUAGAUCGAAACAGUGUGGGCGAGCAGGAGGUACUGGAGAGAAGGCCACACUGUGGUUGAAAAAAAAAACCCUAAAAGACAAAACACUCAUG
rnacentral:sRNA from 1 species